CGGCCGCCGGUGGGGUGGUGUAGGAGGUGCCCUGUCGCCGUUGCCAGCAGUUUCGCCGAAACUUAUAUCGUCUCAAGUGAUUAUCAUUGGAAUAAAUUUCAGUCACCAGCCAGUAGCUCACCAACACGAUGUUGUCUAUAAUCACCACUUCUUCUAGUUUCAUACUUUCGUGAAGCAUGGGCAUUCAGCCAGCGGUUAUAGAGAUGCCCAGGUGAGGCGGUGGUGACAGCACCAGAGUGCGGUGGAGGUGACAGGUGAGCAGUGGGAACUUCAAGAACGGUUAGAAUGCAGAGGGCAUCUACAUAAUGCAGAUUAGUAAGACCAAGGUACCCAACCAGAAAAAUAUUAACAAUGUACAUGUUAUUUUUUUCACGAUCCACAUGAUUAUACCAUCCUUCCUAUUAUUGUUCACCUUCAAAUAAUA